rnacentral:rRNA from 1 species
GACGAGCCGUACGAACGUUAUUCGGAAUUACUGGGCGUAAAGGGCUCGUAGGCGGCCAACUAAGUCAGACGUGAAAUCCCUCGGCUUAACCGGGGAACUGCAUCUGAUACUGGAUGGCUUGAGAUUGGGAGAGGGAUGCGGAAUUCCAGGUGUAGCGGUGAAAUGCGUAGAGAUUUGGAGGAACACCAGUGGCGAAGGCGACUUUCUGGUCUGUAACUGACACUGAGGCGCGAAAGCGUGGGGAGCGAACAGG